rnacentral:rRNA from 1 species
CUUAGAAGCAGCCAUCAUUUAAAGAAAGCGUAAUAGCUCACUGGUCGAGUCGGCCUGCGCGGAAGAUGUAACGGGGCUAAACCAUGCACCGAAGCUGCGGCAGCGACACUAUGUGUUGUUGGGUAGGGGAGCGUUCUGUAAGCCUGCGAAGGUGACCUGUGAGGGUUGCUGGAGGUAUCAGAAGUGCGAAUGCUGACAUAAGUAACGAUAAAGCGGGUGAAAAGCCCGCUCGCCGGAAGACCAAGGGUUCCUGUCCAACGUUAAUCGGGGCAGGGUGAGUCGACCCCUAAGGCGAGGCCGAAAGGCGUAGUCGAUGGGAA